rnacentral:rRNA from 1 species
UGAACGGAAUAUGUUAGCUUGCUAAAAUAUUUAGUAGCAAAUGGGUGAGUAACACGUACCUAACCUACCUUUUGGACCGGGAUAACCAUUGGAAACAGCGGCUAAUACCGGAUAUAAUAAAAAAAUGCAUGUUUUUUUAUCAAAAGAAGCCUUUAAAGCUUCACCAAAAAAUGGGGGUGCGCAACAUUAGUUAGUUGGUAGGGUAAAGGCCCACCAAGACGAUGAUGUUUAGCGGGGCCAAGAGGCUGUACCGCCACACUGGGAUUGAGAUACGGCCCAGACUCCUACGGGAGGCAGCAGUAAGGAAUAUUCCACAAUGAGCGAAAGCUUGAUGGAGCGACACAGAGUGCAGGA